rnacentral:lncRNA from 1 species
GGUCUAUCAGCCAUAUUCCCAGACACUUGCUGUAAUUGUUUGAAAGUCUGUCUCCUCGUACAGGCUCUGCAGGAUGUGUGCGUCUCACAUGGAAGCCUCAGGACCUGUCUUUGAAUGAAUUCGUGAGGAAAUGGAAAACUUCUCUCUACUGCUCCUGUAAAUGCAGAAUAAGCUACAUUUUUUUUCACACCCAUUGCAACUCGCUUGGAACAUUUACCCCUGUGGAGCUGAGACAACAAGGAGUCCAGCCCAUAGGGAGAAGAUAUGUGGAGAACCAAGGUGUUCUAGUCAACAGUCCCAGAUGAACUGCCAGGUGACAGUCAGAACCAGCCACCAGUCAUAUGAGUGGGCCAUCAUGAGUGCUCCAGCCUACUCAGAUCCCCAGAUGACUGUAGCCCAGCUCCCACCUCCAGAUGAACCACCCUGCUGAGCCCCAUCAACUCUCAGAAUCAUGAGAAAUAAUAAACCAUUGUUAUUUCAAGCUGCUAGGUUCUAGAGUGAUUUUUUCCCCUGCAACCUAAGAGUAUAGAGACUCAAGAUGCCCU